GAUGAAGAACGUAGCGAAAUGCGAUAAGUAAUGUGAAUUGCAGAAUUCAGUGAAUCAUCGAAUCUUUGAACGCACAUUGCGCCCGCCAGUAUUCUGGCGGGCAUGCCUGGUCGAGCGUCAUUUCAACCAUCAAGCCCCAGGCUUGUGUUGGGGACCUGCGGCUGCCGCAGGCCCUGAAAACCAGUGGCGGGCUCGCUGUCACACCGGGCGUAGUAGAUUUUAUCUCGCUCAGGGCGUGCUGCGGGUUCCGGCCGUUAAAAAGCCUUUUUUACCCAAGGUUGACCUCGGAUCAGGUAGGAAGACCCGCUGAACUUAAGCAUACAAUAAGCGGAGGA
rnacentral:misc_RNA from 1 species